rnacentral:snoRNA from 1 species
ACUCUCUGGUUCCCUUUCCAAUCAGAUUUUGACACUGGUUUCGGUGGUUGUAAAGGAGGAAGAAUACACGAAGCCUGCUUCACACCAGUGUAGUCAGUCUGGUAUAGAGCAUCGGGCCAGAUUCACACCGGC